rnacentral:rRNA from 1 species
GAUGAACGCUAGCGGCAGGCUUAAUACAUGCAAGUCGAGGGGCAGCAUGACUGUAGCAAUACAGUUGAUGGCGACCGGCAAACGGGUGCGGAACACGUACAGAACCUUCCUUCGAGCGGGGAAUAGCCCAGAGAAAUUUGGAUUAAUACCCCAUAGUAUUACGGAGUGGCAUCACUUUGUAAUUAAAGAUUUAUCACUUGAAGAUGGCUGUGCGGCUGAUUAGGUAGUUGGCGGGGUAACGGCCCACCAAGCCUGCGAUCAGUAACUGGUGUGAGAGCACGACCAGUCACACGGGCACUGAGACACGGGCCCGACUCCUACGGGAGGCAGCAGUAAGGAAUAUUGGUCAAUGGACGAAAGUCUGAACCAGCCAUGCCGCGUGAAGGAUGAAGGUCCUCUGGAUUGUAAACUUCUUUUAUAUGGGACGAAAAAAGGCUUUUCUAAGUCGUCUGACGGUACCAUAUGAAUAAGCACCGGCUAACUCCGUGCCAGCAGCCGCGGUAACAC